rnacentral:rRNA from 1 species
CAGUAGCCACGGGAAUACGAAGGGGGCUAGCGUUGCUCGGAAUGACUGGGCGUAAAGGGCGCGUAGGCGGCGAUCAAAGUCAGGCGUGAAAUUCCUGGGCUCAACCUGGGGGCUGCGCUUGAUACUUGGUUGCUUGAGUGGGGAAGAGGGUCGUGGAAUUCCCAGUGUAGAGGUGAAAUUCGUAGAUAUUGGGAAGAACACCGGUGGCGAAGGCGGCGACCUGGUCCUUGACUGACGCUGAGGCGCGAAAGCGUGGGGAGCAAACAGGAUUAGAUACCCCUGUAGUCCCUGUCUCUUAUAC